rnacentral:rRNA from 1 species
AUUGAACGCUGGCGGCAUGCCUUACACAUGCAAGUCGAACGGUAACAGGUCUUCGGAUGCUGACGAGUGGCGAACGGGUGAGUAAUACAUCGGAACGUGCCCGAUCGUGGGGGAUAACGAAGCGAAAGCUUUGCUAAUACCGCAUACGAUCUACGGGUGAAAGCAGGGGACCGCAAGGCCUUGCGCGAACGGAGCGGCCGAUGGCAGAUUAGGUAGUUGGUGGGAUAGAAGCUUACCAAGCCGACGAUCUGUAGCUGGUCUGAGAGGACGACCAGCCACACUGGGACUGAGACACGGCCCAGACUCCUACGGGAGGCAGCAGUGGGGAAUUUUGGACAAUGGGCGAAAGCCUGAUCCAGCCAUGCCGCGUGCAGGAUGAAGGCCUUCGGGUUGUAAACUGCUUUUGUACGGAACGAAAAGACUCUGGUUAAUACCUGGAGUCCAUGACGGUACCGUAAGAAUAAGCACCGGCUAACUACGUGCCAGCCGCCGCCGUAA